CUCAUUGUAGAGCAUCACUAUGAUUGCUCAAGCCCUCAUCGUACUUGUUAUCUCAUCUCUCUGGCUCCAAGGUCAUUCCCAGGAUGUGACUCAACAACCUGAAAUCAGAUGGAGUUAUGUUAACAAAGCUGCAGAGAUGAACUGCAGCCACAACAAAGAUAAGGGCCACAACCAGAUGUACUGGUAUAUUCAAAGACCAGGAGAGACCAUGAGGCUCAUCGUCUACACAGUGUUUGGUGGGAAGCCGGACUAUGGUGGAGCCCCUGAGAAUAAAUAUUCAGCCAGCAAAGCAGCCAUUGAGAACGGGGCUCUAACUGUGAAUGACUUGCAGCAGAAUGACACUGAGCAAGAUCCCAUUACACCAAAUGUAACAGUACUGGCACCCUCAGUCAAUGAGUGCAAAAACAAGAAAGACAAGAAAAGGAAGAAGACCCUCGUCUGUGUGGCCUCUGGUUUCUACCCUGACCAUGUCGAAGUGUAUUGGCAAAUGAACGAGAAAAAUGUCACUGAUGGUGUGGCGACAGAUGAAGCUGCAGAGCGCAUUGAAACCCCCCUAUCCUAUAGAAUCACAAGCAGGUUGAGAGUUUCUGCUAAAGAUUGGUUCACGGAGGGAAAAAAGUUUACCUGCAUUGUCAGUUUCAACUCUAGACACGUAACCACCAAACAUCAUGAUACAAUAUUGGGUGUUGAAGAUAAAGAAGAUAGAGGCACAGGAAGAGAGAAAUAUUUGAAGAUCACAAAUAAAGCCAAACUCUCCUACGCCGUUUUUAUCUUCAAGAGCUGCCUCUAUGGGGCCUUUGUUGGAUUUUUGGUGUGGAGGCUGCAGAGUUCACCAGGAAAACGUAAAAAAUAAGAGCUGAGCUGUGGACUGACCACAGAUUUGGGACUUGGAUCAUUUAUGUUUUUUGUAAAUAAAAAUUAUAAAAGAUGCUGGUUUUAUUGCCACAACUUUGUGUGUUGCAGCCCAUUUGCAUUCAGAUAAAACUGCUAAGCUGAGAGGAAAAGGAGCAGUUAAAUCUUCAUAUAGUAUUAAAGCUAAUGCAUGAAAGUAAGUUUGGCUAAUUUUAUUUUAGUUUUAUUGUUUUUAUGAAACACUGGCUGUAUUCUUGCUGAACAAUUUCCACUUAAUGCUUCAUUUUCAUAUCAAUAAACAUUUAUGAGAGGA